rnacentral:rRNA from 1 species
UACAGAGGGUGCAAGCGUUGUUCGGAAUUAUUGGGCGUAAAGCGCGUGUAGGCGGCUUUGCAAGUCGGGUGUGAAAGCCCUCAGCUCAACUGAGGAAGUGCGCCCGAAACUGCAGAGCUUGAGUACCGGAGAGGAUGGCGGAAUUCCCCAAGUAGAGGUGAAAUGCGUAGAGAUGCGGAGGAAUACCAGUGGCGAAGGCGGCCUUCUGGGGCUCAACUGACGCUGAAGCGCGAAAGCAUGGGGAGCGAACGGG